AGAGUUUGAUCCUGGCUCAGGACGAACGCUGGCGGCGUGCCUAAUACAUGCAAGUCGAACGGAGAUUGUAGCAAUACGGUCUUAGUGGCGAACGGGUGAGUAACGCGUUGGCAACCUGCCCCGAAGUGUGGGAUAACGGUCCGAAAGGGCCACUAAUACCACAUGUGAUCCCGAGGAACAGAUACUUGGGAUGAAAGGAGCGAUUCGCUUCGGGAGGGGCCUGCGUCCCAUCAGCUAGUUGGUAAGGUAACGGCUUACCAAGGCGAUGACGGGUAGGGGACCUGAGAGGGUGGCCCCCCACAAUGGAACUGAAACACGGUCCAUACACCUACGGGUGGCAGCAGUAGGGAAUAUUGGUUAAUGUGCGAAAGCGCGAACCAGCAACGCCGCGUGUGCGAUGAAGGCCUUCGGGUCGUAAAGCACUUUUUGCAGGGAAGAGGAAGGACGGUACCUGCAGAAUAAGUCUCGGCUAACUACGUGCCAGCAGCCGCGGUAAAACGUAGGAGACGAGCGUUAUCCGGAUUUACUGGGCGUAAAGCGCGUGCAGGCGGCAUGGCAAGUUGGAUGUGAAAGCUCCCGGCUUAACUGGGAGAGGUCGUUCAAUACUGCCAGGCUUGAGAGUGGUAGAGGGAAGCGGAAUUCCGGGUGUAGUGGUGAAAUGCGUAGAUAUCCGGAGGAACACCAGUGGCGAAAGCGGCUUCCUGGCCCAUUUCUGACGCUCAGACGCGAAAGCUAGGGUAGCAAACGGGAUUAGAGACCCCGGUAGUCCUAGCCGUAAACGAUGUGAACUUGGCGUUGGCGGGUUUAAAUCCGUCAGUGCCGUAGCUAACGCGAUAAGUUCACCGCCUGGGGACUACGGCCGCAAGGUUAAAACUCAAAGGAAUUGACGG
rnacentral:rRNA from 1 species